rnacentral:rRNA from 1 species
AUUGAACGCUGGCGGCAGGCCUAACACAUGCAAGUCGAACGGUAACAGGAAGCAGCUUGCUGCUUCGCUGACGAGUGGCGGACGGGUGAGUAAUGUCUGGGAAACUGCCCGAUGGAGGGGGAUAACUACUGGAAACGGUAGCCAAUACCGCAUAACGUCGCAAGAACAAAGAGGGGGACCUUCGGGCCUAUUGCCAUCGGAUGUGCCCAGAUGGGAUUAGCUUGUUGGUGAGGUAACGGCUCAACAAGGCGACGAUCCCUAGCUGGUCUGAGAGGAUGACCAGCCACACUGGAACUGAGAUACGGUCCAGACUCCUACGGGAGGCAGCAGUGGGGAAUAUUGCACAAUGGGCGCAAGCCUGAUGCAGCCAUGCCGCGUGUAUGAAGAAGGCCUUCGGGUUGUAAAGUACUUUCGGCGGGGAGGAAGGUGUUGUGGUUAAUAACCGCAGCAAUUGACGUUACCCGCAGAAGAAGCACCGGCUAACUCCGUGCCAGCCGCCGCCGUAA